GACACCGGAAACGGAAACUAUUCUGUCGGGAUUCUAAUCUGCCUUGCCUGCCUGCGCUUCCCGAUUCUUUAUUUAAAAAAAAAAGCAUGAAAUCAUCCUGGGACGUUCUAAAGUCCAGCAAAGCGGACAGAAGAAAAGAAGACUUUCUUACCCGCCAGCGCCCUUCUGCAAGACCACUAAUCCCAGAAGUCACUGCGGCGCCCUAGGGACUAUGGGAUUUGUAAUAAAGGCACCAGACGAAGCGCCCUCUAACUGCAGCCGGGAAUGGAGUCCCGGGCUUGAGGUUGUGCUUUGCAAUACACACAGUCCUCGGGGUCUCUCUACAGAGCUGACUGUCCUGAAAGCACUCUGUAGACCAGGUUGGCUUUGAACUAACAGGUUCUCCCUGGCUCCACUUUCCAAGUGCUGGGAUUAAAGGCGUGGACCACCACACCCAGCUUCAACAGGACUUCUAGCAUAAGGAGUCAGCGGCAAGGAAUCCAGCUCAAAGUCCCAUGUGCCCUAAUGUUUUCUACUUAUUAUUCAUCUUUAGUUCCUUCUACUUCCAGUAUCAGAAAAAUGUGUAGUCUAGCCAUCAGAAGAUCAAAGAACUAAGGAAAACAAAAAUAAAGAAACACUGAUGACAGACUACGUG
rnacentral:lncRNA from 1 species